AAGCUCCUUAGCGCUGAUGGUAGCCGACUUACGUUCCGCAAGAGUAGGACGUUGCCAGGC
rnacentral:rRNA from 1 species